GACGAACGCUGGCGGCGUGCUUAACACAUGCAAGUCGAACGGAAAGGCCUCUUUCGGGGGGUACUCGAGUGGCGAACGGGUGAGUAACACGUGAGUAACCUGCCCUUGACUUUGGGAUAACUUCAGGAAACUGGGGCUAAUACCGGAUAGGAGCUCCUGCUGCAUGGUGGGGGUUGGAAAGUUUCGGCGGUUGGGGAUGGACUCGCGGCUUAUCAGCUUGUUGGUGGGGUAGUGGCUUACCAAGGCUUUGACGGGUAGCCGGCCUGAGAGGGUGACCGGCCACAUUGGGACUGAGGUACGGCACAGACUCCUACGGGAGGCAGCAGUGGGGAAUAUUGCACAAUGGGUGGAAGCCUGAUGCAGCAACGCCGUGUGCGGGAUGACGGCCUUCGGGUUGUAGACCGCUUUCGCUCAUGACGAAGCUUUGUGUGACGGUAGUGGGUAAAGAAGCACCGGCUAACUACGUG
rnacentral:rRNA from 1 species